rnacentral:rRNA from 1 species
UACGAAGGGGGCUAGCGUUGCUCGGAUUGACUGGGCGUAAAGGGUGCGUAGGCGGGUUUUUAAGUCAGGGGUGAAAUCCUGGAGCUCAACUCCAGAACUGCCUUUGAUACUGAAGAUCUUGAGUCCGGGAGAGGUGAGUGGAACUGCGAGUGUAGAGGUGAAAUUCGUAGAUAUUCGCAAGAACACCAGUGGCGAAGGCGGCUCACUGGCCCGGUACUGACGCUGAGGCGCGAAAGCGUGGGGAGCAAACAGG